UACGUAGGGGGCAAGCGUUGUCCGGAAUCAUUGGGCGUAAAGCGCGUGUAGGCGGCUUCGUAAGUCCGUUGUGAAAGUCCAGGGCUCAACCCUGGAAUGCCGAUGGAUACUGCGGAGCUAGAGUCCGGAAGAGGCGAGUGGAAUUCCUGGUGUAGCGGUGAAAUGCGCAGAUAUCAGGAGGAACACCAAUGGCGAAGGCAGCUCGCUGGGACGGUACUGACGCUGAGACGCGAAAGCGUGGGGGAGCGAACAGG
rnacentral:rRNA from 1 species